rnacentral:rRNA from 1 species
GACGAACGCUGGCGGCGUGCCUAACACAUGCAAGUCGAACGGGACUGAUUGAAGGAAGUUUUCGGAUGGAAUUUGAUUAGUUUAGUGGCGGACGGGUGAGUAACGCGUGAGGAACCUGCCUUUCAGAGGGGGAUAACGUCUGGAAACGGACGCUAAUACCGCAUGAUAUUUUAAAGCCGCAUGGUUUUAAAAUCAAAGGAGCAAUCCGCUGAGAGAUGGACUCGCGUCCGAUUAGCCAGUUGGCGGGGUAACGGCCCACCAAAGCAACGAUCGGUAGCCGGGCUGAGAGGCUGAACGGCCACAUUGGGACUGAGACACGGCCCAGACUCCUACGGGAGGCAGCAGUGGGGGAUAUUGCACAAUGGAGGAAACUCUGAUGCAGCAACGCCGCGUGAGGGAAGAAGGUUUUCGGAUUGUAAACCUCUGUCCUCAGGGACGAUAAUGACGGUACCUGAGGAGGAAGCUCCGGCUAACUACGUG